rnacentral:lncRNA from 1 species
GGCCCUGCGAGGUCCGAGGGGCAAUAGCCCUCUGGAACAAGACAAUUCAUGUGAGAUAAGAAAGAAGAGCCCACAAGACCAAGGAUGUAUUCUCAGUUUACAGACCACUGACCAGAGGCCACUCCAGGGUGUCAGGACUAAGAGAAGUCACAAAACAGCAGAUUUCCCAAGAGCAGCGGAAAAUGAUCCAGUCACAGAUAUCAUUUGAGGAUGUGGCUGUGGAUUUCACGCUGGAGGAAUGGCAGCUACUUAAUCCUACUCAGAAGAACUUGUACAGAGAUGUGAUGUUGGAGAACUAUAGCAAUCUGGUUUUCUUGGGUAAGAACAUUCUUAUGUAACUUAGUGUAUGGCCAGUAACUGGCCUGUGAGGUGUUUGUUUAUUUUGGAUGUAAGUUUUACAUGUCAAAGAUUAUUUGACUUUUAUACUGAAUUGAAAGAUUUUCAUUCACUUGCUUUAUUUUGCAGCCUUUAUAAUAAAACAUUCUACAUAUUUAAGACUCUUAGCCCAGGCAGUUAGGUCCAAGUCCUCUGUGUUUCCAAU